CCUACGGAGGCAGCAGCGAGGAAUAUUGCACAAUGGACGCAAGUCUGAUGCAGUAACGCCGCGUGAGGGAAGAAGACCUUCGGGUUGUAAACCUCUUUUAUGGAGGACGAGUAAGGACGGUACUCUAGGAAUAAGUCUCGGCUAACUACGUGCCAGCAGCCGCGGUAAUA
rnacentral:rRNA from 1 species